rnacentral:rRNA from 1 species
UGGUGGAGUGAUUUGUCUGGUUAAUUCCGUUAACGAACGAGACCUCGACCUGCUAAAUAGUUCGGCAAACCCUCGGGUUUGUACGCGACUUCUUAGAGGGACUAUCGGUUUGCAGCCGGUGGAAGUUCGAGGCAAUAACA